rnacentral:rRNA from 1 species
CAGCCGCCGCGGGAAUACGUAGGUCCCGAGCGUUGUCCGGAUUUAUUGGGCGUAAAGCGAGCGCAGGCGGUUAGAUAAGUCUGAAGUUAAAGGCUGUGGCUUAACCAUAGUACGCUUUGGAAACUGUUUAACUUGAGUGCAAGAGGGGAGAGUGGAAUUCCAUGUGUAGCGGUGAAAUGCGUAGAUAUAUGGAGGAACACCGGUGGCGAAAGCGGCUCUCUGGCUUGUAACUGACGCUGAGGCUCGAAAGCGUGGGGAGCAAAUAGGAUUAGAUACCCCUGUAGUCCCUGUCUCUUAUACA